rnacentral:lncRNA from 1 species
GUUUCUUACUUCAGAAUAAACGCACAAGUUAUUUGCAAUAACAGCAUGUAAAUCCAUGAUGAUGCCUUUUAUGUACUCAAUACAAAAGAAAUAAAUAGGAAGUGGGUUUUGAGGAAGUGCCUUGCAAAUCCUUCCGAUGUUGUCAGAUCACUACAUUUAAAAAAUCCUGAGAUCUCUCAUAAGCGGUCUAGCUACAGACAUGGAGUUGUCGUUUUGGUUGCCCCUUCUGCUUAUCUUCUUGUCAAGAGCAGAGAUUAAUGAAAGCUGCACAUUACAACAGACCAAAGUGAUCUGGCGCAAAGCGGGAGGAUCAUUAAAUCUCUCUUGUACCAUGACCCCAGAAUGCGGAGCCGGCAAUAUUGAGUACAAGUGGUUUGUUUUCAAAGAAGACAGGCAUUUUGCCCUGAAUUCCAACGACAAAUACACCUUGAGUAGAACAUCGGUAACCAUCAGGUCACUGGAGGUCGAUGACAGUGGGAUCUACUACUGUGGAACAGGACAAACUAAAUGCUGCAAACCGCUUGUAGGGCUCGGUACGACUCUUGUAGUGACAGGUAAAGCUAGAGUUCUGCUGUUGCUGGCAUUAGUCCUUCUGGCCAUCUUUAACUUUGCCAUAGUAACAUUCAUCAUUCUAAAGAAGUGUUGCUGGAAGAAAACAGCUGCUGUGAAGACAUCUUUACACGACAAGGACAGCAUAAGGAAAAAAUCUCACUUUAGUAACGUGGUCCAAGAGCUGCACAGCAGAGAGAACCUGAGAAAGAGUAAAAACACAGCCAGACAAAAACCUACUGAGGUAAGUUGCAACAAGAAUUUACAAAACAAAAGGUUGCAUCAAUUGUCACUGUUGUGCUUUCCCACCAUGCCUUGA